GGGGGAUUAGCUCAGCUGGAUAGAGCAUCCGCCUUCUAAGCGGAGGGUCACAGGUUCAAAUCCUGUAUCCCCUACCA
rnacentral:tRNA from 1 species